rnacentral:rRNA from 1 species
GAUGAACGCUAGCGGCAGGCCUAAUACAUGCAAGUCGGACGGGAUUCAGGAGCUUGCUUCUGCUGAGAGUGGCGCACGGGUGCGUAACACGUAUGUAACCUACCUUUAUCAGGGGGGUAGCCUCUCGAAAGAGAGAUUAAGCCCGCAUAAAAUCACAGCACAGCAUUGUGUAAUGAUCAAAUAUUUAUAGGAUAAAGAUGGGCAUGCGGAACAUUAGCUAGAUGGCGGGGUAACGGCCCACCAUGGCGACGAUGUUUAGGGGAUCUGAGAGGAUGGCCCCCCACACUGGUACUGAGACACGGACCAGACUCCUACGGGAGGCAGCAGUAAGGAAUAUUGGUCAAUGGGCGGAAGCCUGAACCAGCCAUGCCGCGUGCAGGAAGACGGCCCUACGGGUUGUAAACUGCUUUUAGACGGGAAUAAACCCAGAUACGUGUAUCUGGCUGAAUGUACUGUAAGAAUAAGGAUCGGCUAACUCCGUG